rnacentral:rRNA from 1 species
AGCAUAUCAAUAAGCGGAGGAAAAGAAACUAACAAGGAUUCCCCUAGUAACGGCGAGUGAAGCGGGAACAGCUCAAAUUUUAAAUCUGGCUGCUUUUGUAGUCCGAGUUGUAAUUUGAAGGAGUCUGUUGCUAGUGCGACGUCGGCACAAGUCCUCUGGAACGGGGCAUCGUAGAGGGUGAGAAUCCCGUCUCUGGCCGUCAGUCGCCGUGCACACGGCAGGCAUCCGAAGAGUCGAGUUGUUUGGGAUUGCAGCUCCAAAUGGGUGGUAAACUCCAUCUAAGGCUAAAUAUUGGCGAGAGACCGAUAGCGAACAAGUACCGUGAGGGAAAGAUGAAAAGAACUUUGAAAAGAGAGUAAAACAGUACGUGAAAUUGUUGAAAGGGAAACGCUUGAAGUCAGUCGUGCCGGCGCUGGAUUCAGUCUCGCUUCUCGGAGCGGGGCGUAUUUCCACGCAUGGCAGGUCAGCGUCAGUUUCGCGCGUCGUGAAAGGGCUCGGGUAAGGUGACUCUCUUCGGGGAGUGUUAUAGACCUGAGCAGAUGCGGCGCGCGGGACUGAGGAUUGCAGCGGACACCCUUCGGGGCGCGGCGACCGAGCCCUGCGCGAUCACCCGUUGGCGAUAGCGUGCUACCGUCAGUGGGAGCGGUUGUGUCACUGGCCAGGCAAGCCGGCGGUUCGCUUAGGACGCUGACGUAAUGGCUUUAAACGAC